GACGAACGCUGGCGGCGUGCCUAAUACAUGCAAGUUGAGCGAUGAAGCUUGGUGCUUGCACCAAUUUGAAGAGCAGCGAACGGGUGAGUAACGCGUGGGGAAUCUGCCUUUGAGCGGGGGACAACAUUUGGAAACGAAUGCUAAUACCGCAUAACAACUUUAAACAUAAGUUUUAAGUUUGAAAGAUGCAAUUGCAUCACUCAAAGAUGAUCCCGCGUUGUAUUAGCUAGUUGGUGAGGUAAAGGCUCACCAAGGCGAUGAUACAUAGCCGACCUGAGAGGGUGAUCGGCCACAUUGGGACUGAGACACGGCCCAAACGCCUACGGGAGGCAGCAGUAGGGAAUCUUCGGCAAUGGACGAAAGUCUGACCGAGCAACGCCGCGUGAGUGAAGAAGGGUUUCGGAUCGUAAAACUCUGUUGGUAGAGAAGAACGUUGGUGAGAGUGGAAAGCUCAUCAAGUGACGGUAACUACCCAGAAAGGGACGGCUAACUACGUG
rnacentral:rRNA from 1 species